rnacentral:rRNA from 1 species
GACAGGAGGUGCCAAGCGUUAGGCGGAAUCACUGGGCUUAAAGCGUGUGUAGGCGGGCGAUCAAAGUACCUUGUGAAAUCCCGACGGCUCAACCGUGGAACUGCUGGGUAUACUGGUUGUCUUGAGCCAGCUAGGGGCGAGCGGAACAGACGGUGGAGCGGUGAAAUGCGUAGAUAGUCGUCUGGAACGCGAAGGUGAAAACAGCUCGCUGGGGCGUGCGCUGACGCUGAGACACGAAAGCCAGGGGAGGCGAACGGG